CGGGUGAUCGUAUGCUGAUGGAGCACGCCGCGUGUGUGAUGAAGGGUUUCGGCUCGUAAAACACUGUUGUAAGAGAAGAAUGACAUUGAGAGUAACUGUUCAAUGUGUGACGGUAUCUUACCAGAAAGGAACGGCUAAAUACGUGCCAGCAGCCGCGGUAAUA
rnacentral:rRNA from 1 species